UGCAAGUCGNGCGGANAGAUGGGNGCUUGCUCCCUGNUGUUAGCGGCGGANGGGUGAGUAACACGUGGGUAACCUGCCUGUAAGACUGGGAUAACUCCGGGAAACCGGGGCUAAUACCGGAUGGUUGUCUGAACCGCAUGGUUCAGACAUAAAAGGUGGCUUCGGCUACCACUUACAGAUGGACCCGCGGCGCAUUAGCUAGUUGGUGAGGUAACGGCUCACCAAGGCGACGAUGCGUAGCCGACCUGAGAGGGUGAUCGGCCACACUGGGACUGAGACACGGCCCAGACUCCUACGGGAGGCAGCAGUAGGGAAUCUUCCGCAAUGGACGAAAGUCUGACGGAGCAACGCCGCGUGAGUGAUGAAGGUUUUCGGAUCGUAAAGCUCUGUUGUUAGGGAAGAACAAGUGCCGUUCAAAUAGGGCGGCACCUUGACGGUACCUAACCAGAAAGCCACGGCUAACUACGUGCCAGCANCC
rnacentral:rRNA from 1 species